UACGUAGGUGGCAAGCGUUGUCCGGAUUUACUGGGUGUAAAGGGCGUGUAGCCGGGCUGACAAGUCAGAUGUGAAAUUCCGGAGCUCAACCCCGGACCUGCAUUUGAAACUGUUGGUCUUGAGUAUCGGAGAGGCAGGCGGAAUUCCUAGUGUAGCGGUGAAAUGCGUAGAUAUUAGGAGGAACACCAGUAGCGAAGGCGGCCUGCUGGACGACAACUGACGGUGAGGCGCGAAAGCGUGGGGAGCAAACAGG
rnacentral:rRNA from 1 species